GCUGAUAUGGCCGAGUCGUUAAGGCGAGUGAUUUGAAUUCACAACAUCACUUGGGCAUUGCCCGCGUAGGUUCAAAUCCUGCUGUCAGCG
rfam:Pisolithus microcarpus 441 unplaced genomic scaffold scaffold_8, whole genome shotgun sequence.